UACGCAGCAAAAGGGCGACUGGGGGAUGCCUCUGGCUUCUGGUGGCGAUGAAGGACGUGGCAAGCGACGAAACGCUGUGGGGACCCGCUGGCAGGGGCUGAUCCACAGGUAUCCGAAUGGGGCAACCCACUAGUCCAAGGACUAGUACCCUACGGGGGGCGAACGCGGUGAACUGAAACAUCUAAGUAGCCGCAGGAAGAGAAAACAAGUACGUGAUUCCCUGAGUAGUGGCGAGCGAACGGGGAACAGCCCAAACCGAUUGUGUUACGGCACAGUCGGGGUAGUAGGACCCGACAUCAAGCAACAAGACGAACCAUAACGCUCUGGGAAGGGCGACCGCAGAGGGUGAGAGUCCCGUUUGGGUCAGUGGCGUUGUGGGUUGGGGAUCCUGAGUAGGGGGGGACCGGAGAAAUCCCCUCUGAAUCGGCCGGCACCAUCCGGUAAGGCUAAAUACGACCAGAAGACCGAUAGUGGAUAGUACCGUGAGGGAACGGUGAAAAGCACGGGGAGUACCCGGGUGAAAUAGACCCUGAAACCAGUCGCUUACAAGCGGUCGGAGCGCCCAGUGUGGCGUGACGGCGUGCCUUUUGCAUAAUGAGCCUACGAGUUACCUUCACUGGCAAGGUUAAGGAUGUGGACAUCCGGAGCCGAAGCGAAAGCGAGUCUGAAGAGGGCGUGCAGUCAGUGGGGGUAGACGCGAAACUUGGUGAUCUACCCGUGGUCAGGUUGAAGGGGUGGUAACACACCGUGGAGGACCGAACCGAUAAGCGUUGAAAAGCUUCCGGAUGAACUGCGGGUAGGGGUGAAAGGCCAAUCAAACUGAGAAAUAGCUCGUACUCUCCGAAAUGUUUUUAGGAACAGCGUUACGUGUUACCAGUCUGGAGGUAGAGCGACCAACAGGAUGCGGGGGAGUCACAUCCUACCAACUUCUGAUGAACUCCGAAUGCCAGAGUGGGUGCGUGGCAGUGAGGGCUUGGGUGCUAAGGUCCAAGUCCGAGAGGGGAACAACCCAGACCAUCCGCUAAGGUCCCCAAGUGAAUGCUAAGUUGAACAAAGGCGGUCCGGCUGCUGAGACAGCCAGGAGGUUAGCUUGGAAGCAGCUAUUCCUUUAAAGAGUGCGUAACAGCUCACUGGUCGAGCGGGGCGGGCGUCGAUAAUGGAGGGUUAGUCGGGGUCUAAGGGGCAGCCGAAGGGUGGGUCCUGAGGGGAAUUGGGUUAAUAGUCCCAAACUGUUUAUGCAGGGAAACUAAUGACGGAGUGCCGGGGGUGGUAGGUCCUGACGGAAUAGGGCGUUGAGAUGAGCUUUCGGGCAAGUCGAAUCACUGAAGGGGCUUCCAAGAAAAGUUAGUUUUCGUUAAGCGUAUAGACACCCGUACCGCAAACCGACACAGGUAGCCGGGAAGAAUAUUCUAAGGUGCGCGAAAGAAUCAUGGUUAAGGAACUCGGCAAGAUGACCCUGUAACUUCGGGAUAAGGGGGGCCUACUGGCAACAGAGGCUGCAGAGAAGAGGCCCAGGCGACUGUUUACCAAAAACACAGGACUCUGCCAAAAUGAAAGUUGACGCAUAGGGUCUGACACCUGCCCGGUGCUGGAAGGUUAAGGGGGGAGCUUAGUCGCAAGGCGAAGGUUUGAACUGAAGCCCCAGUAAACGGCGGCCGUAACUAUAACGGUCCUAAGGUAGCGAAAUUCCUUGUCGGGUAAGUUCCGACCUGCACGAAUGGUGUAACGAUCUGGGCACUG
rnacentral:rRNA from 1 species